rnacentral:rRNA from 1 species
CCUACGGGGUGCAGCAGUGAGGAAUAUUGGUCAAUGGACGCAAGUCUGAACCAGCCAUGCCGCGUGCAGGAAGACGGCUCUAUGAGUUGUAAACUGCUUUUGUACGAGGGUAAAUCCCGAUACGUGUAUCGGGUUGAAAGUAUCGUACGAAUAAGGAUCGGCUAACUCCGUGCCAGCAGCCGCGGUAAUGCGGAGGAUUCAAGCGUUCGCCGGAUCUAUUGGGGUUAAGGGGUACACAGGCGGCCUGUUAAGUCAGCGUGAAAAGCCCGGGGAUCAACCCCGGCGAGCCGUUGAAACUGGCGGGCUGGAGUUGGAGAGAAGUACGCGGAAUGCGCGGUGUAGCGGUGAAAUGCUUAGAGAUCGCGCAGAACCCCGAUUGCGAAGGCAGCGUCCCGGCUCCACACUGACGCUGAGGCACGAAAGCGUGGGUAUCGAACAGGAUUAGAUACCCCUGUAGUC